rnacentral:rRNA from 1 species
UACGUAGGGUGCGAGCGUUGUCCGGAAUUAUUGGGCGUAAAGGGCUCGUAGGCGGUUUGUCGCGUCGGGAGUGAAAUCCACUGGCUUAACUGGUGGCUUGCUUUCGAUACGGGCAGACUGGAGGUAUGCAGGGGAUCACGGAAUUCCUGGUGUAGCGGUGAAAUGCGCAGAUAUCAGGAGGAACACCGGUGGCGAAGGCGGUUCUCUGGGCAUGAUCUGACGCUGAGGAGCGAAAGUGUGGGGAGCGAACAGG